CACGUAGGGGACGAGCGUUGUCCGGAUUCAUUGGGCGUAAAGCGCGCGUAGGCGGCUCGGAAAGUCGGUCGUGAAAUGCCGGGGCUCAACCCCGGGACUGCGUCCGAUACUCCCGAGCUGGAGGCAGGUAGGGGAGAUCGGAAUUCCUGGUGUAGCGGUGAAAUGCGCGGAUAUCGGGAGGAACACCUAUGGCGAAGGCAGCUCGCUGGGACGUUACUGACGCUGAGACGCGAAAGCGUGGGGAGCAAACAGG
rnacentral:rRNA from 1 species